CCUACGGGAGGCAGCAGUGGGGAAUAUUGGGCAAUGGGCGCAAGCCUGACCCAGCAACGCCGCGUGAAGGAAGAAGGCUCUCGGGUUUUAAACUUCUUUUCUCAGGGACGAAGACAGUGACGGUACCUGAGGAAUAAGCCACGGCUAACUACGUGCAAGCAGCAGCGGCAAUACGUAGGUGGCAAGCGUUAUCCGGAUUUACUGGGUGUACAGGGCGUGUAGGCGGGACUGCAAGUCAGAUGUGAAAACCACGGGCUCAACCUGUGGCCUGCAUUUGAUACUGUAGUUCUUGAGUACUGGAGAGGCAGACGGAAUUCCUGGUGUAGCGGUGAAAUGCGUAGAGAUUAGGAAGAACACCAGUGGCGAAGGCGGUCUGCUGGACAGCAACUGACGCUGAGGCGCGAAAGCGUGGGGAGCAAACAGGAUUAGAUACCCGUGUAGUC
rnacentral:rRNA from 1 species